UACAGAGGGUGCAAGCGUUAAUCGGAAUUACUGGGCGUAAAGCGUGCGUAGACGGUUAUGUAAGUCAGAUGUGAAAGCCCAGGGCUCAACCUUGGAAUUGCAUUUGAGACUGCAUAGCUAGGGUGCGGAAGAGGGAAGCGGAAUUUCCGGUGUAGCGGUGAAAUGCGUAGAUAUCGGAAGGACCACCAGUGGCGAAAGCGGCUUCCUGGUCCAGCACCGACGUUCAGGCACGAAAGCGUGGGGAGCAAACGGG
rnacentral:rRNA from 1 species